GCGUGGAUGAAGAAGGUUUUCGGAUUGUAAAGUCCUUUCGGCGGGGACGAUGAUGACGGUACCCGCAGAAGAAGCCCCGGCUAACUUCGUGCCAGCAGCCGCGGUAAUACGAAGGGGGCUAGCGUUGCUCGGAAUGACUGGGCGUAAAGGGCGCGUAGGCGGAUGGCUUUGUCAGAUGUGAAAUUCCAGGGCUUAACCUUGGGGCUGCAUUUGAGACGGGUUGUCUAGAGUGGAGAAGAGGGUCGUGGAAUUCCCAGUGUAGAGGUGAAAUUCGU
rnacentral:rRNA from 1 species